rnacentral:rRNA from 1 species
AUUGAACGCUGGCGGCAGGCUUAACACAUGCAAGUCGAGCGAGCGGCGGACGGGUGAGUCAUGUCUGGGCAACUGCCUGAUGGAGGGGGAUAACUACUGGAAACGGUAGCUAAUACCGCAUACCAUCAGAUGUGCCCUGAUGGGAUUAGCUAGUAGGUGGGGUCAUGGCUCACCUAGGCGACGAUCCAUACCUGGUCUGAGAGGAUGACAAGCCACACUGGAACUGAGACAAGGUCCAGACGACUACGGGAGGCAGCAGUGGGGAAUAGUGCACAAUGGGCGAAAGACGGAGGCAGGCAUGCGGCGUGUGUGAAGAAGGCCUUCGGAUAGUAAAGCAAUUUAAGGGGGGAGGCGUUACUCGCAGAAGAAGCACCGGCUAACUCCGUGCCAGCAGCCGCGGUAAUUC